AGUAACACGUGGAUAACCUACCUAUAAGACUGGGAUAACUUCGGGGAACCGGAGCUAAUACCGGAUGAUAUUUUGAACCGCAUGGUUCAAAAGUGAAAGACGGUCUUGCUGUCACUUAUAGAUGGAUCCGCGCUGCAUUAGCUAGUUGGUAAGGUAACGGCUUACCAAGGCAACGAUGCAUAGCCGACCUGAGAGGGUGAUCGGCCACACUGGAACUGAGACACGGUCCAG
rnacentral:rRNA from 1 species